CGGGUUCUGUCCUUCUCGUGCGCGGUUUGAAUCCCGGUGGCCUUAAACAUACUCGCGGGAGCUGGCUCUGCGACUGGCCCUGGCCUAUCGCACCUGGCGCCCACCUGGAUCUCCAGGCUCGCGAGGAUCAACGCCGCCACGGUCGCGACGGGCCCGCC
rnacentral:misc_RNA from 1 species